CGCAGCCGCGGUAAUUCCAGCUCCAAUAGCGUAUAUUAAAGUUGUUGCAGUUAAAAAGCUCGUAGUUGAAUUUCGGGACCAAUAUGUCGGUCGUGCCUCGGUACGUACUGGUGUCAUUGGUUUCUCCCUUCUGACGAACCUUGAUGUCAUUAAUUUGGUGUCUUGGGGAAUCAGGACUGUUACUUUGAAAAAAUUAGAGUGUUUAAAGCAGGCUCACGCUUGAAUACAUUAGCAUGGAAUAAUGAAAUAGGACGUUUGAUUCUAUUUUGUUGGUUUCUAGGAUCGACGUAAUGAUUAAUAGGGAUAGUUGGGGGCAUUAGUAUUCAAUUGUCAGAGGUGAAAUUCUUGGAUUUAUUGAAGACUAACUACUGCGAAAGCAUUUGCCAAGGAUGUUUUCAUUAAUCAAGAACGAAGUUAGGGAUCGAAGACGAUCAGAUACCGUCGUAGUCUAACCAUAAACUAUGCCGACUAGGGAUCGGAUGAUGUUAAUUUUUAUGACUCAUUCGGCGCCUUACGGGAA
rnacentral:rRNA from 1 species